rnacentral:rRNA from 1 species
UACAGAGGGCGCGAGCGUUGUCCGGAAUCACUGGGCGUAAAGGGCGCGUAGGUGGCACGAUAAGGCCGUGGUGAAAGUCUGGGGCUCAACCCCAGAUCUGCCGCGGCGACUGUCGAGCUUGGGCACCGUAGAGGCAGAUGGAAUUCCGGGUGUAGCGGUGGAAUGCGUAGAGAUCCGGAAGAACACCGGUGGCGAAGGCGGUCUGCUGGGCGGUGGGUCCGUAAGGGUCCAAUAGCCGACACUGAUGCGCGACAGCGUGGGGGAGCAAACAGG